AGAUUGAACGCUGGCGGCAUGCCUUACACAUGCAAGUCGAACGGUAACGCGGGGGCAACCCUGGCGACGAGUGGCGAACGGGUGAGUAAUACAUCGGAACGUACCCAGUAGUGGGGGAUAGCUCGGCGAAAGCCGGAUUAAUACCGCAUACGACCUACGGGUGAAAGCGGGGGAUCGCAAGACCUCGCGCUAUUGGAGCGGCCGAUGUCGGAUUAGCUUGUUGGUGAGGUAAAAGCUCACCAAGGCGACGAUCCGUAGCUGGUCUGAGAGGACGACCAGCCACACUGGGACUGAGACACGGCCCAGACUCCUACGGGAGGCAGCAGUGGGGAAUUUUGGACAAUGGGCGAAAGCCUGAUCCAGCCAUGCCGCGUGUGUGAAGAAGGCCUUCGGGUUGUAAGCACUUUGUCCGGAACGAAACGCCAAGGUCGAAUAAACCUUGGUAAUGACGGUACCGGAAGAAUAAGCACCGGCUAACUACGUGCCAGCAGCCGCGGU
rnacentral:rRNA from 1 species